UAACAAGUUCCUCUUCCUAACCGAGACCUAUGGGGAGGUUAAACACAGUCUCUCAUAUCCCCGCUAAGGGUGCGGGGAGCAUAGUAUCUCCA
ncrna:unclassified sequences PhotoRC-II RNA